AAUAUGUUACGCGAUAAGCGAUACGCUGUGGCUUAACGAUUUUUCAGAUAGCACGAAUGCCAGCAAUCGUGCGACGUAGGAGUUCAAAGGGGGACAUGGUCAGUGUGGUUGGGUGCAAGCAACGUGUCAUUGUGGUUAGAAAAAAUGAAUCAGUAUACAUGUGAUUUAACUGUCAAAGCCGGAAUGUUUAAAGGAUCGACUGUCCAGCGAGGAGAUUGCGGAAUCAGCAACUGACAUAUUGACUGAUGAAACAUGAUGGUGCGUGCAGCAAGAGAGGGUUUGACUGCAGAUCCUGACCACCUGCUCCUGUAAAUUUGUACCAACCACAGGCGAAAACAAGAAGAAACGCUUUGAAUACCUGCGGUCUUCUAUCAGCU